rnacentral:rRNA from 1 species
CGGGGCUACUGCUCUGUAAUUGGCAUGGGGGCGACCUUCACCCUCGCCCGAGUACCCAUUGGAGGGCAAGUCUGGUGCCAGCAGCCGCGGUAAUUCCAGCUCCAAUAGCGUAUAUUAAACUUGUUGCAGUUAAAAAGCUCGUAGUUGUACUUCACGUCCCCCGCAGUGUUCUUCACUACGCGGACGCCUCGUUACUUUGAGAAAAUUAGAGUGUUUCAAGCAGGUUUCGCCUGUAUAAUUGAGCAUGGAAUAACCUUGUAUGACCCUGUCGUACCGUUGGUUGACUUUGGGUAAUGGUUAAUAGGAACGGUUGGGGGCAUUCGUACUCGACUGUCAGAGGUGAAAUUCUUAGAUUUGUCGAUGACGCACGACUGCGAAAGCAUUUGCCAAGGACGCUUCCAUUAAUCAAGAAC